rnacentral:lncRNA from 1 species
CCAGACUUCGCAUAGGUGAGCAUCAUUUUAAAAUUAAUAGCUACAGUUACGGUUGCAUCAAACCGUCCAAUUCAAACUGAUGGGGGAAAAAUGGGCCUACCAACGCACGUGACUGAGGAACCCAAAUCCGACGACGUACGUGAUCUCAAUAGACAUGAUCUCGGCAACCAUGGCCUUGGUGAGCACGAGUUCGACAAGCGCGCUCUGACCGAGCAGAGCCCGCUCGAUCUCGAGACUAAAAAUGACCCAGUCAAAAUCCACAUCCGACUCCACCGAGAAUCAAGCUGAUCUCCGAAUCAAAACGGCUACCAUGUUCUCCAUAUCCGGGAUCGACUCCCGCAAUCUAUGCCACGACAGCUGUCGAAUUCAAAUCCUUCCGUUCUCCACCAAGGGCCAGCUAAUUCAAAUUCUCAGGCCAAUUGAGGUAACAUAUUUCAGUCUGAAAUCCCCGCCAUAACGCCGGAUAGCGUGUAACUACCACACCACCUCUUAUAAAGAGGAGAAACUCCAGGAAGACGGGGACUCUUCUUUCUCCUCCACGCCUGGGCUUCUCCACCAAAAAACUAUCUUCAAAUUCCUCUCUGACUUAAGCAUCAGAGGGUCUUUGCCGGAACCCCCGGCCCAGACUUUUUGCAAGUUCCGCCACCAUCUUCCGAAAAUAGCCUUCUACAACCGCCUGCGGCGGAAGCUCCUCCCUUUGGUCUGCGAUCACCCCCGGCAACAACACAAACUAUGCUUGCAAGAGAGAAAAAAAAGAGGAAAAGAUAGCUUAUAAUUUUUCAGUAAUAGUGUUGUCUAUAAAGGAGUACAAAUCCUCUACAAUUCCAGGUCCUUGAAAUAUAUAUCACUACGAAGUCCAAAUAUAAAUUUGAGCAUGCAUG